GUCAGGAAUUCUGCCUUAUUUUUAACAUCCAAGAAAGUCAAGGAUGAGGGGGACUUCUUCACCUUUUGGAGAGUUUGGCUUCUUGGACUUUGACUUCGACUUCACUUUUGGAGUUCUUGGGAAUUUGGUUUUUUUGGACUUCGCCUUGGUGAGCUGCAUUGGUGAGCUGGACUGAAGGAAGAGACUCUUUCCCUGGAUCCUACGUUGGCUUGCUGGAGUGAUCCAAAUUCAAUGGCGAGACAAAAGACAAGGAUGACUACAGAUGGCCUGGGAUGCAGUGGAUGACCUUGGCCUCUUUGAUGUCUGAACAAACUCCAAUCUCUCCGCAGUGCCUACUUAUGUUGCUUUCAUGGCUAUUGGAACAAAUUGUUCUUAUUUGCCAAUUCUACAAGGGGAAGUCUUCAUAUAAUUGGGGCAGAAGUCCCCUUAACUCACCAAGAGGUUUGAGGUCUGUUGAUUACCUGUCCUCUAAUUGGUUUAGCCCUUCUUUGAAGACAGUUUUACCAAGGUGUUGCUGCUGUGAUGCCACAGCUUCUUGGAACUUCAGGACAAAAGUCAAGAUGACUGGCGAUAGCCUGGAUGCAUUGGAUGGCAUUGGCUUCUCCAAUAUCUGAUGAAACUCCACGCAGUCCACAGUGCCUUCUUCAGCUGUCUUCAUGGCCAUUGGAACAGAUUGUUCUCAUUCACCCAUUACACUGGGGGAAGUCUGCAAAUGCUUAGGGUAGCUAUCCCCCUAACUAAGAAACUGGUUUGAUGCCUGUCAGUUAACAUCAGCCUAGUUUAACCUGCUUGCUGAGAUGGUUUUACCAGAAUAUGGAUGCUAUGUUAUGCAUGGUACAGUUUCUUGGAGCCACAGGAGAGAGUUGAGUGAAAGAUGGACACCAAUGGUGGAUGUAGGAUGUUCCUGGUGGACUAGCAUCUCUUGUUUGAGGUCUAACCUCUGGUAGAGAAAGUUCCAUACCAAUGAAAUUACUGGUCUCAUCCCUAUCCUGAUGCUAUCUAUAUACAAAGGAUCAUGACUGCAAUCAAUCCGUCUUUCAACAAACAUUUCUUAAACUCCUGACACGUGCCAAGUUCUGUACUCGUGCUGGGUUUACAAAGUCAGUAGUUAAGCUGCCCCUCCUCCUCUCAAGAAGCUUCCAUCAUCUCAGGGAAAACUUGCCUGAAGCAGACACCUACACAAGAAUAGGAUUUGGUACAUAAUCAAUUGGUCUUCAAUAAAUCUCUGUGGAUUGCUAAGGAGCA
rnacentral:lncRNA from 1 species